rnacentral:tRNA from 2 species
UAUUAAGUAGCUCAGUUGGAAGAGCAGCGAAUUGAUAUUCGUCGGUCAUGGGUUCGUUUCCCAUCUUAAUAU